AGUGAACGCUGGCGGUAGGCCUAACACAUGCAAGUCGAACAGCAGCACAGUAAGAGCUUGCUCUUACGGGUGGCGAGUGGCGGACGGGUGAGGAAUACAUCGGAAUCUACUUUUUCGUGGGGGAUAACGUAGGGAAACUUACGCUAAUACCGCAUACGACCUACGGGUGAAAGCAGGGGAUCUUCGGACCUUGCGCGAUUGAAUGAGCCGAUGUCGGAUUAGCUAGUUGGCGGGGUAAAGGCCCACCAAGGCGACGAUCCGUAGCUGGUCUGAGAGGAUGAUCAGCCACACUGGAACUGAGACACGGUCCAGACUCCUACGGGAGGCAGCAGUGGGGAAUAUUGGACAAUGGGCGCAAGCCUGAUCCAGCCAUACCGCGUGGGUGAAGAAGGCCUUCGGGUUGUAAAGCCCUUUUGUUGGGAAAGAAAAGCAGCAGGUUAAUACCCCGCUGUUCUGACGGUACCCAAAGAAUAAGCGCCGGCUAACUUCGUG
rnacentral:rRNA from 1 species